GCGCCCCGAGCGCCGCGCGGGGAGGGUGCGGAGCGGCCCCGCGCCGUUAGCGCACCCGGGGGCCCUCGAGCACCGCGGAGGCCAGGCGCCGGCUGCAGAGCUUUCACCUCCAGGGCAAAGUAAAACAGUGCACAUCUCUCUUUACAUCUUUCUUGGUGGACGAGGUCACUCCCGCAGAUCCAGGCCGGGUUUAGGCACCGACCAGGUGGAGUUCACGGUAGUAUCUUUCAGCAGUGACCUUCACAGAGCACAGAGCCCCUUCCUCUCCUGCUACUUGUUCAGGAGUCUCGGUAUAAUUAGAAGCUGAGCAGAAAAUCCUGAUUGUUCUUAGAGGUAUGUAUGUAUGUGAAUAUUCACAUAUAAAUAUGUUAAAAGCUACUUAAAGCUCUGAAUGUUAUAUUAAUUUAUAAUAUAAGAUGCCCUUCUCCACCCCUAAUUCUUGCUUUGCCUUUCUUAUUAUAAGUAAAAAGGAGAAUUAAGGAGAAUGUACCC
rnacentral:lncRNA from 1 species